ACAGGACUCAAAAAGUUUCUGGGAUGAUGUACUUCAUUAAGGUCCAAGUUAGUGGUACUGACUAUGUCCACUUAAAGGUGCUUGUGGGCCCUCGUCCAGAGGAUGUAUAUCCUGCCCUUGUCAGUUUUCAGACUGGCAAGACCAAAGAUGAUCCUCUGGACUAUUUCUGAGACACAAUGAGGGCAGUGCCUCACUUCUACAAGUCAUGUGGGGGUUCUGACCAUGACAGUAAAUGCAUGAAAAUAAAAUAAGGCUUGAAAGCUA